rnacentral:tRNA from 1 species
CGGAAGUGGCGAAAUUGGUAGACGCACCAGAUUUAGGUUCUGGCGCCGCAAGGUGUGAGAGUUCGAGUCUCUCCUUCCG